UACUAACCAAUAAGAUAAGUAAGUAGUAUAAGUUAAAGCUAAGGUAAAGUUAUUUUUACCUUAUAAUAUAAUAAAUAAAGUUAAUAUUUAAUAUGAUUGUGUUUAAUUUACACCAUGAGUUCAUGAUGAUGUAUGGAACGUACGGAAAAUAGGAUAAAAAUCAAGAAUAUUUCUUAUUAUACAUAUACGAAUAAGAAAAUAUUAGGUAGAUAGUUAAUAAAAAAAUACAUUUAAAUCGUACAUAAAUUUUGUGCUGAGAUUAAAGUGUUUCAACAUGAUAUCUGCUGAUGUCAAUGUAAUUUCUAAGAAUCCCACACAUUAGUAAUAUUUCAAUUGAAACAGUGUACAUAAAUUCCUUAGUGAUGCACAUUCCAUUACAUGACCAAAUAAUCAUUAAGCUAAUAUUCUCCUUUCCUUGCGGUUGUGUAGAAAAACAAACAGAAAAAUAUGUCUUCAGAUGAGAUUUCUCUAGUGAAUUAUAUUGCAACCAAAAAUCUUGGAAAUCCUAAAUAUGUAGUGAAAAUGGAAAUAUGUAAAAUUGUACAAACAUCAAACAUAGCUGAAGUGAAAACAGUAAUAAAAACACAAUAUUUGGUAAAUGAAGAUUACGAUACUAUAUUGGAGUUUGCUGUAAAAUUAAUAAAUCAAAUUGGAACAAAACUUGGAGAAAAUGCUGACCAGCACGCAUCUUGAGUGAAAUAAGGUACAGGACAUAGUCGUUGAACAAUGAACAUUCCUUUGUGCAUUUGAAAUGUUAUUAAAAUUAAGUUCGUAUAGUAAAUAAAUCUGUAUUAUGUUUUGGCUUUGUUAGGGAUUAUGUUAUAAUAAACUAAAUAUUUAAUUACUUACAUACUUAUUUAGAGCACCACAUACUGUACUACAUAUGGCACUGUGCAUUGAAAGAAAUUAACCUUGAUGUUUAAAUGAUAAAAUAUUAGGUACCUAAGUACUUUACUUGUGUAUGAACUUAUUAAAAAUUAAUAAAAUAAAAAACCAAAAUUACAUAAUUUUUGCUUUUAUUUUUCAUAAUCCUUAAAUCUAGUUAAACAAUAAAUAGUAUAAAGUCAUUUUAAAAAAAAACAAUCAUAUUAUUUUCUAUAAACCAUUUCCUUAAAGAAAUUACAUUUUUUAGAGCACAAUAUUUUUUAUGAUAGGCACAGUUAUAGUUUACAGUACUAUUCAAAAAUGAAUUAUAUAAAGUAGUAAAAUUUGGACACCCUUUUUCUCCUAGUUCGAUUAUAUUACAAUUACUACAUAUUUCCUCCAUCCAUCUAAUCUUUUCUAAUCCUUUAACAAGAAUGUUCCGGUGUUUCUCUAAAAAAGGUUUAAUGUACUUUUUAAAUUCUUCAUAUACGAUAUAGCCUUCAUUCCAAUAUAUGCCUCGAUUUCGUUGAAUCCAAGAAACUUGUUUUUUUUCUUCACUAUACAAAUCAUUAUAAGUAAAUGGUGGUUUCAAAAGAAACACCUGAGUAUGUUCGGAAGUUGCAAAAGCAAAUUCCUUUAGAAUGAAUCGGUUCCUCAAGUCUUUAAAGCC